rnacentral:misc_RNA from 1 species
CAGAGUUGCAAAACUCCCACAAACCAUCGCGAAUCUUACCCGUACGGUUGCCUCGGCGCUGGCGGUCCGGAAGGCCCUCAGGCCCCCCGGAUCCUCGGGUCUCCCGCUCGCGGGAGGCUGCCCGCCGGAGUGCCGAAACCAAACUCUUGAUAUUUUAUGUCUCUCUGAGUAAACUUUUAAAUAAGUCA